GGGGGUAUAGCUCAGGGCUAGAACGUGUGCUUGGCAUACACGAGGUCCUGGGUUCAAUCCCCAGUGCCUCUG
rnacentral:tRNA from 1 species